UACGUAGGGUGCGAGCGUUGUCCGGAAUUACUGGGCGUAAAGGGCGCGUAGGCGGUCUUGUAAGUUCUGUGUGAAAUCCCUCGGCUCAACUGAGGAACUGCACGGAAAACUGCGAGGCUUGAGUUCGGGAGAGGGAAGCGGAAUUCCGGGUGUAGCGGUGAAAUGCGUAGAUAUCAGGAAGAACACCCGUGGCGAAGGCGGCUCUCUGGGACGGUACUGACGCUGAGACGCGAAAGCGUGGGGAGCGAACAGG
rnacentral:rRNA from 1 species